UUAAGCGACUAAGCGUACACGGUGGAUGCCCUGGCAGUCAGAGGCGAUGAAGGACGUGCUAAUCUGCGAUAAGCGUCGGUAAGGUGAUAUGAACCGUUAUAACCGGCGAUUUCCGAAUGGGGAAACCCAGUGUGAUUCGUCACACUAUCAUUAACUGAAUCCAUAGGUUAAUGAGGCGAACCGGGGGAACUGAAACAUCUAAGUACCCCGAGGAAAAGAAAUCAACCGAGAUUCCCCCAGUAGCGGCGAGCGAACGGGGAGGAGCCCAGAGCCUGAAUCAGUGUGUGUGUUAGUGGAAGCGUCUGGAAAGGCGCGCGAUACAGGGUGACAGCCCCGUACACAAAAAUGCACAUGCUGUGAGCUCGAUGAGUAGGGCGGGACACGUGGUAUCCUGUCUGAAUAUGGGGGGACCAUCCUCCAAGGCUAAAUACUCCUGACUGACCGAUAGUGAACCAGUACCGUGAGGGAAAGGCGAAAAGAACCCCGGCGAGGGGAGUGAAAAAGAACCUGAAACCGUGUACGUACAAGCAGUGGGAGCCUCUUAAUGGGGUGACUGCGUACCUUUUGUAUAAUGGGUCAGCGACUUAUAUUCUGUAGCAAGGUUAACCGAAUAGGGGAGCCGAAGGGAAACCGAGUCUUAACUGGGCGUUAAGUUGCAGGGUAUAGACCCGAAACCCGGUGAUCUAGCCAUGGGCAGGUUGAAGGUUGGGUAACACUAACUGGAGGACCGAACCGACUAAUGUUGAAAAAUUAGCGGAUGACUUGUGGCUGGGGGUGAAAGGCCAAUCAAACCGGGAGAUAGCUGGUUCUCCCCGAAAGCUAUUUAGGUAGCGCCUCGUGAAUUCAUCUCCGGGGGUAGAGCACUGUUUCGGCAAGGGGGUCAUCCCGACUUACCAACCCGAUGCAAACUGCGAAUACCGGAGAAUGUUAUCACGGGAGACACACGGCGGGUGCUAACGUCCGUCGUGAAGAGGGAAACAACCCAGACCGCCAGCUAAGGUCCCAAAGUCAUGGUUAAGUGGGAAACGAUGUGGGAAGGCCCAGACAGCCAGGAUGUUGGCUUAGAAGCAGCCAUCAUUUAAAGAAAGCGUAAUAGCUCACUGGUCGAGUCGGCCUGCGCGGAAGAUGUAACGGGGCUAAACCAUGCACCGAAGCUGCGGCAGCGACACUAUGUGUUGUUGGGUAGGGGAGCGUUCUGUAAGCCUGCGAAGGUGUACUGUGAGGUAUGCUGGAGGUAUCAGAAGUGCGAAUGCUGACAUAAGUAACGAUAAAGCGGGUGAAAAGCCCGCUCGCCGGAAGACCAAGGGUUCCUGUCCAACGUUAAUCGGGGCAGGGUGAGUCGACCCCUAAGGCGAGGCCGAAAGGCGUAGUCGAUGGGAAACAGGUUAAUAUUCCUGUACUUGGUGUUACUGCGAAGGGGGGACGGAGAAGGCUAUGUUGGCCGGGCGACGGUUGUCCCGGUUUAAGCGUGUAGGCUGGUUUUCCAGGCAAAUCCGGAAAAUCAAGGCUGAGGCGUGAUGACGAGGCACUACGGUGCUGAAGCAACAAAUGCCCUGCUUCCAGGAAAAGCCUCUAAGCAUCAGGUAACAUCAAAUCGUACCCCAAACCGACACAGGUGGUCAGGUAGAGAAUACCAAGGCGCUUGAGAGAACUCGGGUGAAGGAACUAGGCAAAAUGGUGCCGUAACUUCGGGAGAAGGCACGCUGAUAUGUAGGUGAAGUCCCUCGCGGAUGGAGCUGAAAUCAGUCGAAGAUACCAGCUGGCUGCAACUGUUUAUUAAAAACACAGCACUGUGCAAACACGAAAGUGGACGUAUACGGUGUGACGCCUGCCCGGUGCCGGAAGGUUAAUUGAUGGGGUUAGCGCAAGCGAAGCUCUUGAUCGAAGCCCCGGUAAACGGCGGCCGUAACUAUAACGGUCCUAAGGUAGCGAAAUUCCUUGUCGGGUAAGUUCCGACCUGCACGAAUGGCGUAAUGAUGGCCAGGCUGUCUCCACCCGAGACUCAGUGAAAUUGAACUCGCUGUGAAGAUGCAGUGUACCCGCGGCAAGACGGAAAGACCCCGUGAACCUUUACUAUAGCUUGACACUGAACAUUGAGCCUUGAUGUGUAGGAUAGGUGGGAGGCUUUGAAGUGUGGACGCCAGUCUGCAUGGAGCCGACCUUGAAAUACCACCCUUUAAUGUUUGAUGUUCUAACGUUGGCCCCUGAUCGGGGUUGCGGACAGUGUCUGGUGGGUAGUUUGACUGGGGCGGUCUCCUCCUAAAGAGUAACGGAGGAGCACGAAGGUUGGCUAAUCCUGGUCGGACAUCAGGAGGUUAGUGCAAUGGCAUAAGCCAGCUUGACUGCGAGCGUGACGGCGCGAGCAGGUGCGAAAGCAGGUCAUAGUGAUCCGGUGGUUCUGAAUGGAAGGGCCAUCGCUCAACGGAUAAAAGGUACUCCGGGGAUAACAGGCUGAUACCGCCCAAGAGUUCAUAUCGACGGCGGUGUUUGGCACCUCGAUGUCGGCUCAUCACAUCCUGGGGCUGAAGUAGGUCCCAAGGGUAUGGCUGUUCGCCAUUUAAAGUGGUACGCGAGCUGGGUUUAGAACGUCGUGAGACAGUUCGGUCCCUAUCUGCCGUGGGCGCUGGAGAACUGAGGGGGGCUGCUCCUAGUACGAGAGGACCGGAGUGGACGCAUCACUGGUGUUCGGGUUGUCAUGCCAAUGGCACUGCCCGGUAGCUAAAUGCGGAAGAGAUAAGUGCUGAAAGCAUCUAAGCACGAAACUUGCCCCGAGAUGAGUUCUCCCUGACUCCCUGAGAGUCCUGAAGGAACGUUGAAGACGACGACGUUGAUAGGCCGGGUGUGUAAGCGCAGCGAUGCGUUGAGCUAACCGGUACUAAUGAACCGUGAGGCUUAACCU
rnacentral:rRNA from 1 species